UUAGGAGUGAAACACAAAUAUAAGAUUUAUAAUCCGUCGAGUUUCUGCUUGUUUUUUAAGGUAGUAAUAUAACCACUCGCACAGCAUUUUCACAUUGGUACUACCCACACUGGUACAGACAGUUUUAGUAUAUUUAUAAUCCCUUCGUUAUGCAGGACAUCCCUACUUUGUUUUAAAAAUUGAAGGCUGCUGCAUCUUUUCCAAUCAUGUAGUUAAUUUUAAACGUUUCUUUGCGCCGUUUAUUUUAGCCAAUCAGCGCCGUGACACUGCCCCUUUAAUAAGUAUUUUUGUACUAGUCUGCUAGAAUUUUCUGCAAGUAGAAAUUUCUGCAAAAUUACGUUCUGAAGUAUUUCCACGUACGUUUGUAGAACAAGUAUUUAAUAACCAAAAUUAUUUGGACGGUGUCGAACGGCGUUCACUGAAUUCCCUACUAGGGGGAACAGCGUUCCCCCAUGGUUGAUUUUGGCAUGGGGGACGCUGUUCCCGUGGUAAAAAAGGUGGAGGGACGGCGUUCCCCCUGGAAAACAUCAUUGGGCAUCACCAUGCAAGCGACUGCACAUCAUCGAUG